GCCCAUUGAUGAGAUUGUGGCAAAUUUUAUGAUCUAGUCAGACCAAGAGAUUGUGGUAUCUUGCCUGCUGUUAGGUGGGUAGUCUUGGUAGUGUGGUUGAGAUGUAUUGCACUGCUGUAAGGCCCCACCCACAGUCAAUUUGUCAACUUCUAAAAAACUUUUGUCCCCCCCAAGAGCAAUGGGGCGGGAUACGUAGGAGAUGUCAAACAAUGUGUGGGUGUUUUUGUGUGUAAGUUGUAUGAAUGUAUAUGUAUCAGCUGGCAAGAGCUAUAGUCUCAUGAGUUAGUUUGUCUGGUAUGAACAAAUAUUUGGUAAUCUGAGGGCA
ensembl:snoRNA SCARNA10 small Cajal body-specific RNA 10